UAUAAUGCAGGAUUACAGCUGCAAAUCGCAAAUUUAUAUCCGGAAGUUAUGUUCCCUGUGAGUCGUAAUACACCGAUGAUUUCUCAUCUUAUAAGAUGGGAUCAUUCCGAAGAUUGGUAUGCAUACCGUUAUUUUGCACAAAGAAAACUUUACAUUGGGGAAGCAAUUGUUACCAUUAAUUUAUUAGAUGAAGAAUUUACAUAUAUGACCGGGCAUGUCGUUAAUAGAAAAAAUUUAUUACCGGCUACAGGAUAUCUUUUCCUGAUAUGGCAAAUGAUCGGCUGG